rnacentral:rRNA from 1 species
UACGGAGGGAGCUAGCGUGGUUCGGAAUUACUGGGCGUAAAGCGCACGUAGGCGGCUUUGUAAGUUAGAGGUGAAAGCCCGGGGCUCAACUCCGGAAUUGCCUUUAAGACUGCAUCGCUAGAAUUGUGGAGAGGUAAGUGGAAUUCCGAGUGUAGAGGUGAAAUUCGUAGAUAUUCGGAAGAACACCAGUGGCGAAGGCGACUUACUGGACACAUAUUGACGCUGAGGUGCGAAAGCGUGGGGAGCAAACAGG